AUGACUGGAUUAUAUAAGGAAGAGCCUCUGCUGGAAGGCAAGUUCACACUUGGGGCAGAAUAUGCCAGAGUUGAGUAGCGCACCGAGAAGGUCAGGAUCGUCGGGAAAUACGGGACCCGUUAUGGUGCCUCCCUCCGGAAAAUGGUGAAGAAAAUUGAAAUCAACCAGCAUGCCAAGCACACUUGCUCCUUCUGUGGCAAGACCAAGAUGAAGAGACGAGCUCUUGGCAUCUGGCACUGUGGUUCCUGCAUGAAAACGGUGGCCGGCGGGGCCUGGACCUACAACACCACCUCUGCAGUCACAGUGAAGUCUGCCAUCAGGAGGCUGAAGGAACUGAAAGACCAGUAGAAGCCCUACCGUCUGAGAUUCACCUAGCCUGCAAUAAACGGGUUAUUUACGUAAAAAAAAAAAAAAAAAAAAAAAAA